rnacentral:ncRNA from 2 species
CGCGAUACCUCGGGGUGGCGGAGCACGAUCCGCCUGAGAUUUGCGUAGACGCAUCAACCCGUUGAACCUGAACCGGUUAGCACCGGCGGAGGGAAGGUAUCGGUCUGUCUC